AACGCUGGCGGCAUGCCUAACACAUGCAAGUCGAACGAGACCUUCGGGUCUAGUGGCGCACGGGUGCGUAACGCGUGGGAAUCUGCCCUUGGGUUCGGAAUAACAGUUGGAAACGACUGCUAAUACCGGAUGAUGACGUAAGUCCAAAGAUUUAUCGCCCAGGGAUGAGCCCGCGUAGGAUUAGCUAGUUGGUGGGGUAAAGGCCUACCAAGGCGACGAUCCUUAGCUGGUCUGAGAGGAUGAUCAGCCACACUGGGACUGAGACACGGCCCAGACUCCUACGGGAGGCAGCAGUGGGGAAUAUUGGACAAUGGGCGAAAGCCUGAUCCAGCAAUGCCGCGUGAGUGAUGAAGGCCUUAGGGUUGUAAAGCUCUUUUACCCGGGAUGAUAAUGACAGUACCGGGAGAAUAAGCCCCGGCUAACUCCGUG
rnacentral:rRNA from 1 species